AGUGAACGCUGGCGGUAGGCCUAACACAUGCAAGUCGAACGGCAGCACAGUAAGAGCUUGCUCUUACGGGUGUCGAGUGGCGGACGGGUGAGGAAUACAUCGGAAUCUACUUUUUCGUGGGGGAUAACGUAGGGAAACUUACGCUAAUACCGCAUACGACCUACGGGUGAAAGCAGGGGAUCUUCGGACCUUGCGCGAUUGAAUGAGCCGAUGUCGGAUUAGCUAGUUGGCGGGGUAAAGGCCCACCAAGGCGACGAUCCGUAGCUGGUCUGAGAGGAUGAUCGGCCACACUGGAACUGAGACACGGUCCAGACUCCUACGGGAGGCAGCAGUGGGGAAUAUUGGACAAUGGGCGCAAGCCUGAUCCAGCCAUACCGCGUGGGUGAAGAAGGCCUUCGGGUUGUAAAGCCCUUUUGUUGGGAAAGAAAAGCAGCAGGUUAAUACCCCGCUGUUCUGACGGUACCCAAAGAAUAAGCACCGGCUAACUUCGUG
rnacentral:rRNA from 1 species